rnacentral:rRNA from 1 species
GAUGAACGCUAGCGGCAGGCUUAAUACAUGCAAGUCGUGGGGCAGCAGCUCUGUAGCAAUACAGAGGCUGGCGACCGGCAAACGGGUGCGGAACACGUACGCAACUUACCCUUAAGUGGGGGAUAGCCCGGGGAAACCCGGAUUAAUACCUCGUAACACUGUUUGGUGGCAUCACUGAACAGUUAUAGCUCCGGCGCUUAAGGAUGGGCGUGCGUCCCAUUAGGUAGUUGGUUGAGGUAACGGCUCACCAAGCCUGCGAUGGGUAACUGGUGUGAGAGCACGACCAGUCACACGGGCACUGAGACACGGGCCCGACUCCUACGGGAGGCAGCAGUAAGGAAUAUUGGUCAAUGGAGGCAACUCUGAACCAGCCAUGCCGCGUGGAGGAUGAAGGCCCUCUGGGUUGUAAACUUCUUUUAUAUGGGACGAAACUCCUUGAUUCUUCGAGGUCUGACGGUACCAUAGGAAUAAGCACCGGCUAACUCCGUGCCAGCAGCCGCGGUAAUACGGAGGGUGCAAGCGUUAUCCGGAUUCACUGGGUUUAAAGGGUGCGUAGGCGGGUUUGUAAGUCAGUGGUGAAAUCCCAGAGCUUAACUCUGGAACUGCCGUUGAUACUACAGGUCUUGAAUACUCGGGAGGUGAGCGGAAUAUGUCAUGUAGCGGUGAAAUGCUUAGAUAUGACAUAGAACACCGAUAGCGAAGGCAGCUUGCUACACGAUAAUUGACACUGAGGCACGAAAGCGUGGGGAUCAAACAGGAUUAGAUACCCUGGUAGUCCACGCCCUAAACGAUGGAUACUCGACAUACGCGAUACACAGUGUGUGUCUGAGCGAAAG